AGAGUUUGAUCCUGGCUCAGAUUGAACGCUGGCGGCAUGCCUUACACAUGCAAGUCGAACGGCAGCACGGGAGCAAUCCUGGUGGCGAGUGGCGAACGGGUGAGUAAUAUAUCGGAACGUGCCCAGUCGUGGGGGAUAACGUAGCGAAAGCUACGCUAAUACCGCAUACGAUCUAUGGAUGAAAGCGGGGGAUCGCAAGACCUCGCGCGAUUGGAGCGGCCGAUAUCAGAUUAGCUAGUUGGUGGGGUAAAGGCCCACCAAGGCGACGAUCUGUAGCUGGUCUGAGAGGACGACCAGCCACACUGGAACUGAGACACGGUCCAGACUCCUACGGGAGGCAGCAGUGGGGAAUUUUGGACAAUGGGCGCAAGCCUGAUCCAGCAAUGCCGCGUGCAGGACGAAGGCCUUCGGG
rnacentral:rRNA from 1 species